GAAGAGGACAACAGGGAUUGCCCUAGUAACGGCGAGUGAAGCGGCAACAGCUCAAAUUUGAAAUCUGGCCUUCGGGUCCGAGUUGUAAUUUGUAGAGGAUGCUUUUGGCGCGGUGCCUUCCGAGUUCCCUGGAACGGGACGCCUUAGAGGGUGAGAGCCCCGUACGGUUGGACACCAAGCCUCUGUAAAGCUCCUUCGACGAGUCGAGUAGUUUGGGAAUGCUGCUCUAAAUGGGAGGUAAAUUUCUUCUAAAGCUAAAUACCGGCCAGAGACCGAUAGCGCACAAGUAGAGUGAUCGAAAGAUGAAAAGCACUUUGAAAAGAGGGUUAAAUAGCACGUGAAAUUGUUGAAAGGGAAGCGUUUACGGCCAGACCUUUUCCUGGCGGAUCAUCUGGUGUUCUCACCAGUGCACUCCGCCAGGUUUAGGCCAGCAUCGGCUCCCGUAGGGGGAUAAAAGCAGUGGGAAAGUAGCUCCCUCGGGAGUGUUAUAGCCCGCUGCACAAUACCCUUACAGGGGCCGAGGACCGCGCUUUUGCAAGGAUGCUGGCGUAAUGGUCGUCAACGACCCGUCUUGAAACACGGACCAAGGAGUCGAACAUUUGUGCGAGUGUUUGGGUGUCAAACCCUCACGCGUAAUGAAAGUGAACGGAGGUGAGAGCCCUCUAGGGGGUGCAUCAUCGACCGAUCCUGAUGUCUUCGGAUGGAUUUGAGUAAGAGCAUAACUGUUCGGACCCGAAAGAUGGUGAACUAUGCGUGGAUAGGGUGAAGCCAGAGGAAACUCUGGUGGAGGCUCGCAGCGGUUCUGACGUGCAAAUCGAUCGUCAAAUCUGCGCAUGGGGGCGAAAGACUUAUCGA
rnacentral:rRNA from 1 species